rnacentral:rRNA from 1 species
UACGGAGGGUGCGAACGUUAAUCGGAAUCACUGGGCGUAAAGCGCGCGUAGGCGGUUUGCUAAGUGGGAUGUGAAAUCCCCCGGGCUUAACCUGGGAAUUGCAUUUCAAACUGGCCGACUAGAGUACGGUAGAGGGAGGUAGAAUUUCCUGUGUAGCGGUGAAAUGCGUAGAUAUAGGAAGGAAUACCAGUGGCGAAGGCGGCCUCCUGGAUCGAUACUGACGCUGAGGCGCGAAAGCGUGGGGGAGCAAACAGG